GCGGGCGUGGUUUGUUCUCAUGCCCGUUGCCCAGUACGUUUUCCCGGAUUGUUCCAGUCCCUCGAAAAACUGGCUCCACUACUACCUUUUGGACACCCGGAGUUACUCCCUGAAAUUGGCUCUCGUCCUUCUCUCGACUCCAGUCGCCCUAGGAGCUUGCCCCCAGGUGUCGGGUUCUUCGCUCCAGCGGCAAUGACUGAGCAGAGGCCAUCACAAAAACCUGAGAUGGUGCUUGAACGCGGUGGAAUAGGGAUCCAUAACCGGCCUGCAGGCCAAGAUCAGGAAGAGCUGUUUCUGCACACUCCCUCCGGCCAAGAAUGGUUUGUGCAGCAGUGACGGAUUGUAAAAAACAAAAAACAAAAGGAAAGAAGAAUAUGUGACAGAAUCCUUAUGUGCCCACAAAUAAAAUAUUUAACUGGC